AUUGUUUCUUGGCCUUUUGGCUAAAACCAAGUGUAGUAUCUGUUCUUACCAGUUUAUCUGGAAAGCAGAGAGGGACUGGUUGUAAAAGAGGGUAAAAUAUUAGAGAGGUGAAAUUUUU
ensembl:snRNA U2 U2 spliceosomal RNA